UCAAUGUCAUGGUCACUCCUA
rnacentral:snRNA from 1 species